rnacentral:rRNA from 1 species
AUUGAACGCUAGCGGCAGGCUUAACACAUGCAAGUCGAGCGGAGGUGAGGUGCUUGCACCUUAUCUUAGCGGCGGACGGGUGAGUAAUGCUUAGGAAUCUGCCAUUUAGUGGGGGACAACAUUCCGAAAGGAAUGCUAAUACCGCAUACGUCCUACGGGAGAAAGCAGGGGAUCUUCGGACCUUGCGCUAAAUGAUGAGCCUAAGUCGGAUUAGCUAGUUGGUGGGGUAAAGGCCUACCAAGGCGACGAUCUGUAGCGGGUCUGAGAGGAUGAUCCGCCACACUGGGACUGGGACACGGCCCAGACUCCUACGGGAGGCAGCAGUGGGGAAUAUUGGACAAUGGGCGGAAGCCUGAUCCAGCCAUGCCGCGUGUGUGAAGAAGGCCUUUUGGUUGUAAAGCACUUUAAGCGAGGAGGAGGCUACCUGGAUUAAUACUCUAGGAUAGUGGACGUUACUCGCAGAAUAAGCACCGGCUAACUCUGUGCCAGCAGCCGCCGCAGUA